UGGGGAAUAUUGCACAAUGGGCGCAAGCCUGAUGCAGCCAUGCCGCGUGUGUGAAGAAGGCCUUCGGGUUGUAAAGCACUUUCAGCGAGGAGGAAGGUGGUGAGCUUAAUACGCUCAUCAAUUGACGUUACUCGCAGAAGAAGCACCGGCUAACUCCGUGCCAGCAGCCGCGGUAAUACGGAGGGUGCAAGCGUUAAUCGGAAUUACUGGGCGUAAAGCGCACGCAGGCGGUUUGUUAAGUCAGAUGUGAAAUCCCCGGGCUCAACCUGGGAACUGCAUUUGAAACUGGCAAGCUAGAGUCUCGUAGAGGGGGGUAGAAUUCCAGGUGUAGCGGUGAAAUGCGUAGAGAUCUGGAGGAAUACCGGUGGCGAAGGCGGCCCCCUGGACGAAGACUGACGCUCAGGUGCGAAAGCGUGGGGCAGCAAACAGGAUUAGAUACCCUGGUAGUCCACGCUGUAAACGAUGUCGAUUUUGGAGGUUGUGCCCUUGAGGCGUGGCUUCCGGAGCUAACGCGUUAAAUCGACCGCCUGGGGAGUACGGCCGCAAGGUUAAAAC
rnacentral:rRNA from 1 species